CAGUAGCCGCGGGAACACAGAGGGUGCGAGCGUUAAUCGGAUUUACUGGGCGUAAAGCGUGCGUAGGCGGCUUCUUAAGUCGGAUGUGAAAUCCCUGAGCUUAACUUAGGAAUUGCAUUCGAUACUGGGAAGCUAGAGUAUGGGAGAGGAUGGUAGAAUUCCAGGUGUAGCGGUGAAAUGCGUAGAGAUCUGGAGGAAUACCGAUGGCGAAGGCAGCCAUCUGGCCUAAUACUGACGCUGAGGUACGAAAGCAUGGGGAGCAAACAGGAUUAGAUACCCGAGUAGUCCCUGUCUCUUAUAC
rnacentral:rRNA from 1 species